AACAUCAGUGUUGUAUUUCCGGUCUACUGCACUUCAUUGACACUUAGCAUUUUUUUGCGUAUGUAAUCGAUUGUAAAACUGCGCAGUUUUCUAAUUUGGAUUAUCCCAUAUAAGCCAAAGGAAAAGUAAAAUAUAUCUGAUUUAUAGUAAUACUUUUUUUGUGAGUGUUUACGAGAGAAUAAAGACAAUUUAUUACAGGAUACUUAAUUUACAGCUGGAAACCAUUUUGUAAAAUGUUGUCGAAUGGUUUUUAACAUUCGCUAAGUUGUUAUGGAUGAAAAUAGCAGUAGAUCAUCAUCUAGAAAAAAUUCUUUACCAGAAGACGAGCCUAAAGUAUCAGCAACAAUUGACAGAAGGAAUGAUUCGGACAGUAUGAAGCACCCACCACCUGCUUUGAAACGUAUGUCAAGUGGUGGUAAAGUAAAAAAACAGGUUACAAUUGAAGAUUCACCACCGCUAGACACCACAGAAGUAUUUGAACGUAAGAUUUCUUCUGCUGAUAAUAAGUAUUAUGAAAGUAUACCCGUAAAUGAACAAGAAAAUUACAAAUCAGAGCUGUCUUCUGAAGCUAAUCCUAGUAUUCGAGUUAAUGAUAAAGAAUUAGAGGAUGAGAAAGAGGAUAAGAGUGGGGAGAAGGAGGAUGAGGAGUAUAAAAGUGUACAUGCAUCUCCUGAUAGCAGAUUUCUUAAAUUCAAUCAAGAAAUUGGAAGAGGAUCAUUCAAAACAGUUUAUAAAGGAUUAGACACAGAAACAGGUGUUCAAGUAGCAUGGUGCGAGUUACAGGUAACACUUAAAAUAUAUUUUUUAGGAAAAUGAUUGCACAUGAUUUUGAAGGACAAGAAAUGGCAUAAGAAAGAACGAGAGCGUUUCAGAGAAGAGGCGAGCAUGCUAAAGGAUCUUCAACAUCCAAAUAUCGUCCGAUUUUAUGACUCCUGGGAGGAAACCAACACGAGGAAUAGAAAAAUCAUCGUUCUCGUAACAGAGAUGAUGACCUCCGGAACUUUGAAAACGUUCGUACAGUGAUUAGAGAGAUUUGGGUUAUGAUUUGUUUUACAACAGAUACAUCAAAAAGUUUAAAAAUAGAGUGCAAUUGAAAGUUGUUAAGAAUUGGUGUAGGCAAAUUCUGCGAGGAUUAUGCUUCUUACACACGAGAAUGCCGCCUGUUAUUCAUCGUGAUCUGAAGUGUGACAAUAUUUUCAUUACCGGAACAACGGGAUCCGUAAAGAUCGGGGAUUUAGGCCUAGCUACUUUAAAAAACAAGAGCUUUGCUAGGAGUGUUAUAGGUACGCCAGAGUUUAUGGCUCCCGAAAUGUAUGAGGAACAUUACGAUGAAGCGGUUGACAUAUACGCUUUCGGGAUGUGCAUGUUAGAAAUGUGCACAUCAGAAUAUCCUUACAAAGAAUGUACAAAUCCUGCACAAAUUUUUCGCCGUGUAACUGCUGGAGUUAAACCAGAGAGUUUCGAUAAAAUUGACAAUCCAGACGUGAAGGAAAUUAUAGAAGGUUGCACAAAGAGUCGAAAAGAAGACAGAUUUUCUGCAAAGGAACUCCUACAACAUCCAUUUUUUGCUGAAGUAAAAUUAGAACUUUCAGAAGUAGGAUCAGAUAAUAAUACAAUUAAACUUCAUUUUCGAUUAAUUGAUGCAAAACGGAGAAAAGACAAGCAUAAAGAAAACGAGGCUAUUGAAUUUGAGUAUAGCUUAAACACUGAUUCACCUGAAGAUGUUGCAAAGGAAAUGCUUAAAUCCGGCUAUGUUGUAGAUUCAGACUUUAACUCAGUUGUUAGACAGAUAAGGGACCUAACUAAAAAAUGGAAUCAAGAGAAACAACAACAAAACCCUAAUGCCACAGCAGUUCAGGAGAACAAAGAACAAGGUCAGAUACCUGAACAACCGGCGGAUGUUACCACCCAACCAGUAACUACACAACAUGCUCCUAUUCAACAUCAGGCGUCAGUUGAUUUACGUCCAGAUCAGCAACAUCAGCCAGUAGAAGAAACAGUGAGAGAUUCAGAUAUUGAAUCGAGUGAAGUUAAAAGAGCCCCUGUUCCUCUUGCUCAAAAAAAAGAAAAGGCUAAGUCUCGACAAAAACGAAGAACAGGCGAACUUGGCAAUGAAUUAAGAGUUGAGCUAAAGGGAACAAAACAUGGAAAAAUUGAAUGUGAAAUGUCAGGAGGGAAAGGAGAAAGAGAUGCUGAAGUUGUUACUUUUGAAGUCGAUAAAGUUGACAUGGAUGCUGAUGAGAUGGCUGAGUCUCUCGUGGAAGCAAAGCAUUUGGAUUUGGGCCUAGUAGAUAAAUUUAAAAGUCAAAUUGCCAAAUUGUUAUCUAAAGUUCAAGAAAUACUGCCAACCCCAACGCAUCCAACUCCACUCAUGUCGGACGGAGAUGCCCACAACAUUCCUCUGCAAACUUCAUCAGCUCCCAACAUGAAUGAUACUGACAGAUCUAGACAAGCUAGUCAAGAACCAGAGAAUAAACAUACAGAAUUCUUCCUUGAAAGUAAUGAUAGUUCGGUUCAGAGAGUUAAAAAAGACGAUGUGUUCAGAGGCAAUUACGGAGAUUAUAAAAGAGAUAGGAACACACUUUCGAGUCAACCAGUUACAGGUGGUAGUAGUUUACCUCCAACUCCAUCUGCGACAAGCGGUAUGGCAAAUGUAAACCUUGAUGACGUAUAUACUAAAUUGUCGGUGUAUCAAUGUCGAGGUGAUUUAGCAAAAGCCUAUUUGGGACAACUACGAGAUUUAUUAAAUCAAGCGUUUACUUUUAUAAAUAACCCGGCGGCUUUGUAUCCUAUAACUCAGCAGAUAGCUACAGUCUUCCAGCUUGUUUCUCAAUUUCCGCUGGAGAAUACUCCUGAUACCCAAGCAUUGAUGGGGCAAGCCUUAUAUUUUGUGAAAGCAUGUCAACUACCAACACAACCACCCGUUGUACCACAAAGGAGAGAGAGUGCACCUGUUCACCCUGCUAGUCAGCAUAGCUUUUACGCCAAUCCUCAAUCGUCUUCCUUUAACAAUAUGCCACCACAAGAUUUGGCAAACUUACAUCAAAAGUUACAAAAUUUACAUUCGAGGCCUAUGAAUAUGCAUGCAUUUCCUCAAAAGGGAGGUGAAGUAGAAGAUCAACCAACUUUUACUGAAACUGAUAAUCUUGAGAAACCACGAAGGAGUAAAUUACAAAUUAUUAAUGUUUCACCUGGCGGCAGUGAAAGAUCGGUUCCUGUUAGAAAGGACGAUCAUCCACAACCUCAAAGUACUUCUCCGGUAUCCUCUCCUAACAAGCAAUUAGGACGUUUCAAAAUUUCGGCGGUAGAGGAGACCGACGACGGUAAGAGUAAAGAAAAAGAACGUGAAAAAGAAAAAGAACGAGAAAAAGAGCUAGAAAAAGAGCGAGAAAGAGAACGAGAACGAGAAAGAGAAAGAGAAAGAGAGAGGGAUAAGGAAAGAGAAAGGGAACGGGCUGAAAAGGAAAAGGAAUCUGGACCAAACAUCGAUAGUUAUCAUCAUUGUGUUCCUACAGUCUUAUCAGCAAAUACUAGUGUAAUCCAUCAUACAGACAACGAUAAUGGCUAUGGUCCAACAAAGAAUACUGAUUUUGAUUCCGUAUCGGAGGCUGAGAGCAAUGCUUUGGAAUCCCAACAGGAGAGCCAGGUUGCACGCAAUAAUACGUAUCCUGCUUUAAAUCAUCAACUAUUUUCUGUUGAAAAUUCGUCUGCUUAUGGCUCCACUACUAGUUCGCAUCGAAUUAAAGAAUUAUCCGAGCUUGACGCUUUGCUCAUGCAGCACCCUUUGUAUGAUCCUGAAAGGUCUCAAGAUCUAAUGAAUUCUGCAAUGAGGCAAGCCAUGCAACAGGAUCCUACUUAUGCUGAUAUGGAAGCUAGGCAUACACAUGAGUACCAACAGUAUGUUUCAUCUUUUAAACAACGUUUCGCAGAAGCUAUACUAAGGAAUAUGCCUCAUAUUGCAAAUACAUUGGCUAAGCAAACCUCACCUCCCUUGUCACAGAAUACCAGCAUCUCUUGCCUAAACCCAGUUCAACAACCUUUGAUAGAUCAGCAAUCAGCUUUUUCAAUGCAAAUGGGUGUUACACCGGGUUCUCAGCUAUCAAGUAUGCAAUUAACAGGCGUUGCCUGUCAUUCGAGAAAUGGACAAAGCACACCUCAGCAAAGUCAAGCCCCUAUUGUUAGCCAGAAUGCUCCAAAUAUGCAAGCUUAUAGUCAACAAACUUUUCCACAUUCGGCUGCUGUGACCAGUAAUUCCUUUCAGCCGGUUCGACAGACACCACCAACAAUAGGAAUGCAAAAACCCUCGAAUGUUCAACUACCACAGAAUCAGGCCUAUUUUAACAAUACUGUUCCGGUUAGACAAGUGCCACCAGCAAUGAUGAAUUUUAUGCCGAAUCAGGUUACGGGCUACAAUCAAGUUCCUAUGUCGAAAAAUCCUGUGGGACAAGGUUUUAUGAGUGCUCAAGGUAUUCAACCGCCAACUCAGCCUAUUGAUACGAUAGAUAAUUUGAGACAAUCUUUAAGCAACGUUUUGAACAUUGAACGAACAAGGAUAGAUAGCUCAUCUAAGUUACAACAGUCUAACAUCCUCGAAAGUGACACAAAGCCCAUGGACCCAGUUCGAGAUGGUGAUUCAUCUCCAGUUGCGAAUCUUAAACAAAAGCCUAAUCCGGACAUCUAACAAAUAUUAUCUUUAAAAAAAUUAUGGUAGGCUUAAUUUCGCUUGUUAAACUUACGCUGAAGCUACUAUGCCGUAUUUUUUAGUUACAAUGAGUGAGCAGACUAUUUUAGUUUACGAACAUUUUAGUGAACUGCAUAUACUUCGGCCGAAGAGACUAGAAAUCUUGUAGCCAAUGUCCCACCCCGUACCCCCUCCACGCCAACUUCUCUUAACCUCCUUUCUUUCCUUCCCGCUAGUGUUUAAAAUUUUACUGAUUUAAAUUUUUGCCACUGUUCAUUCGUCUUUGUUUAUAGAUUCAAUUUAGCGCAUGCGUUUAUUUUUUCGUUUAACACAACAACAUAUACACAUUCGAGUCUUUGUUUUUAUUCUAUAUUCUAUAGAAAUUCUUUGUAUAUUUGUUACAGUUCAUUCAUAUAUUAUGAUGUCUGAAAAUUUACUGAAACAUACCGUCACUGAUUUACAUACAAAUAACUUUCAAAAAUACAUAUAUGGAAUCAGAUUUUACAAUUCCAUACGCCUCAAUAGAAUCAUUUGUAAUACUUCAUUAAAACUUAAAAAGCUAUCCUUUCUGUUAAAUGUAUUAGUCAUCUACUAAAUUCCCUUUUCAUAUCCCUACCCUAAUCCUUUCCUUUCUAUUUUUGAACCCAUUUAUAUCCUUUCAGAUUACGUAAGCUUUUUUCAAUUUACCAGAAACAGAAAAGAAGAAAAAAAAAAGACUUCUAUUUUACUUUUCUUUUUAGUAACAAGACUGGUUAAUUUUAUCCUAUUAACCCUUUUCCUAUGCCUUCUGUAUAUUUAUCUAGUUCUUAUUCUAUAUUCUGCUAUUAGUCUCUCGCACUCUCCCUCUCCUACCCAUCUAUCUCCCUUUCCAGACCAAUCUGUUAAUGGUGUAAUCCUUCGUAUAGACUAUUUGGUCGUGACAGCUGUUAUCAGCAUGAAUAAUCUUUCACAAAGAAUAAUCUACUAAACUCUCGAUUUAUAAUUGAAAAGAAUUAGGGUAGCGUUUAUUGAUUUCUAUUCUCUUUCUAUUAUAUAUCUUAUUGCAUAUUCGACCUAAUGCCAAGAUGAAAAUUAGUAAUAACAAUGAUGUUAAUAAUAACAAGUAAAUCUAUAUUGUAUGAAAUAAUUGCAAAUACUCUAUUUUUUAUUAUAAAACUUUUAUUUCUGCUGAUUUUCUCUGAUAUGAACUAGAAAAUGUCAAAACUAUUGUAUUUAGACUAUAUUUACUUUAAUCGACCUUGAAAAUUGAUGCAUACUUGCACGUACCACAAUACAGGCUUGGAAAUCACAUUAAGUAAAUACGUAACGUUUGCCAAGGCUAUGCUAAUCGUUACUUGGUCUAUUUUUAGAAUGACAAACUAAGAAAAAUAGUUUACUUAAAAAGCUUUUUUUUACUUUUUUCUUUUGUUGGUUGCACAACAUUGAUAUCAAGGCUUAAACUGCUGUAUAUUGUAUAAAUCUUUGAGAGGCUUUAUUAGAUCAAGUCUCUUAAAGGUCAUGUGAUACUUAAGGAUUUACUGAAAAUAAAAUUGCAAUUUUUAAUAAUUAA
rnacentral:misc_RNA from 1 species